rnacentral:lncRNA from 1 species
AGCUAAGCAAUUGACGUUGUUGAAAAAUGGGUGAAGUGAGAGGAAUUGCUUCACUUUGCAGAAGGAGCCAUGACUGAGUUAAAAGUCAAUGCUUACAUUCGGAGGUACUUAUAAAUAUCCAAUUUUCUUCUACUUUUUCUGCAUCGCAUACCCUUGAGCUAUGUGACAGAUUUGUCUAAUUUUAAUUUAGGGACAUUAUCAUGUUGUGGAUCCAUAAGUUAAUUGAAAUAUUUGUUAUAUUACUCAUUUCCUCGAAUGGAAGCUUUUUUCCUCUCAAAAUGAAUUUACCUUAGGUUUAACAUAAUGAGGUCAUUCCAAGUACAACCUUACCAUUUUUCUCAGAAUUAUGUUGCAUUUUGUGACAUUGAUACGUUUAACAAUUAACUUUUUGAUAUCCAAGAUGACUUUAUUCAGUGAAUGUUGAUAUUCGCAAAUGAUGAGUGUAUUAUAUUUUUUCAUGAGUUUUAGGAAGCCAUUUUUGACAUCAAACUUACAAAUAAAAUAUCAUUUUACUCCAUGUAAUUAAAGGGGUUAUUAUGUUAUAGAAUUCUUUUAAGUAGAUCAUAUAUUUCUACGAGUUUUGUAAAUGGUAUUAAAUGGAAUCAAUAUAUAUUUCUUGCUCAUGGAAUUUAUGAUUCUUGUUAUUAGAUGAAUGUCUAUUCUAUGUGUUGAGAAAUAUUACUACUUGAUUUUCUCUACAAAGUAUUUGACUAACAAAUGCAAGGAUGUGUUCCAAAUAUAAAGGCAUCACCCUCCCCACUAAUACCAAUUGAUAGGUCUAUAAGUUUUGUACUUGUCAGGGGACAAAAACAAUAAGUUAUGUGAUUAUGCCCAAAGUAUAACGCGGUGAUUGUAGUACAGCUUUGGGGUGUCGUAUCCACAGGGAGAUGGAAAUUUUCUCAAAAAAAUCAAACAAACUAGGGUUUUCGUAAUUUUAUGUGGGAAUGAUUUGUUACUUGGAAUAAAAAUUAAUUAUCAAUAUGCGACAUAAGUGAAGCGUCGGAAUUCCCCCAAUGGAUUGGAUCAAUCAACAUCAAUAAUUCUUGUAUUUUUUCUCAAUUAGAGAUUUUCUUCCCAACUCUCUAAUCGGAAGAUUUAACAAUAAAGUCCAAUUUAAUUCCAAUUAUAUUGCUAGAAUCUAGAUUUUCUAUAACACAUUCGCACGUUUUUUUAUUGGAACAAGAUCAAAGAUCGACCAUAUACAUCAACCAUAAGGCAGUAAUCAAUUCGCCAAUAAAGUAAUAUUAAGAUUAAAAUUCAACAAUUAUUUUAAUUAUUCGAUAGAAGGAACAUGACUAGAUCUGUGAAGGAUUUGAUAAAAGUUAAAAUAAUCUCAACAAUAAAUAAUUCAAAUUGUAAUUCAACAAGUAUUUCGAAUAUUCGAUAGAGAAAGCAUGACCGAAUCUAUGGAAAUUCUAAUAAUUGCUAAACUAAUGUCAAAAAUAUAUUCAAGAUAUGGAAAUUCGAUUCUAAAAUUGUUUAAUAAUGAAAAACUCAAUUACAUGAAUUAAAGAUGUUGAAAUCACCAAAACCGAUUGAGAUCCUUCGUUGCUUCACCAAGUUCCUUAAUUUUCUAUGGAGUUUCUUGAGCACCAAGAUGAAAGAAAUAGGUCUGGGGGCGUCUACCUUCGUUCUGGGUGGUUUUGGGCAUUUAUAUCCCGUGAAAAUUAGGUUACCAUAAGAGAUUCAAUCGUAUAAGGAAACUGAGAUUCGCCGCCCAAAAAAUACUAUGCGACCGCAUGGUUAUUGUCAUUGCGGUCGCAUGGUUAUGCACUUUCAUCCUCUCCAAUUCUCGGUAUAGGUGUGUGCGACCGCAUAGUAGAAAGGCAUGCGACCGCAUGGUUCCGCCAGACAGCUUUCAGUGUUUUAGUCAUAACUUUCUUUCCCGAUGUCCAAUUGAGGUGAUUCAAGUUGCAUUGGAUAGCUAAUGUGAGCAAAUUAGAGGUGGGUCUCAUGCAAUGUUUUUAUCAUGAAAAGCUUUCAUUUUUUCCUUGUAGAUUCUAGAACUCUCAUAGGCCUCAUUUCUCAACUCCUCUAACUCAGCGAAUUGAAAUUUCCUAAGCUUACCUCCCUCCUCUAGGUCGAAAUUAAAAUGUUUAAUAGCCCAAUAUGCUCGGUGUUCAAGCUCCACAAGUAAAUGGCAAGGCUUUCCAAAAAUAAGUCUAUAUGGUGACAUGCCGAGGGAAGUCUUAAAAGCAGUACGGUAAGUCCAAAGUGCAUCACUUAAUCUUAAAGACCAAUCUUUACGAUUAGAAUUCACCAUUUUUUCCAAAAUUUGUUUAAUUUCCCUAUUAGCCAAUUCUACCUGUCCAUUAGUUUGGGGGUGGUAAGUAGUAGAGAUUUUAUGAAUAACUCCAUAUUUUUUCAUUAGUGCUUCGAAUGAACGGUUGCAAAAGUGUGUGCCUCUGCCCCUAAUAAUGACACGUGGUGUACCAAACCUAGAUAAGACAUUUUCUUUGAGGAAUUUAAUAACCAUUUUAUUGUCAUUAGUUCUACAAGCGAACGCCUCUACCCAUUUAGACACAUAAUCCACCGCCACAAUAAUGUAUAGAUAACCAAAAGAAGGUGGAAAGGGGCCCAUAAAGUCAAUCCCCCAACAAUCAAACACUUCUAUCACUAAAAUGGAGUUUAAAGGCAUCAUAUUACGUCGAGACACGGCACCUAAUUUUUGACAUCUUUCACAGGUUCUACAAUAGGUAUUAGUGUCUUUGAAUAAGGUAGGCCAAUAAAAACCACAUUGUAGAAUUUUUGCAGCAGUCUUUUUUAUAGAGAAGUGGCCACCACAUGCUUAAGUAUGACAGAAACUAAGUAUGCUAAGUAUUUCUUCAUUGGGGACACAACGUCUUAAGAUUUGGUCGGGGCAGUACUUAAACAAACAUGAGUCAUCCCAAUAAAAAUUAUGUACCUAAACCAAAAACUUCCUCUUAUCCUUUGUACUCCCUCCUUUGGGAUUUCACCUGCAGCCAAGUAGUUCACAAUGUGAGCAAACCAUGGUAAAGAAGAGACAGAAAAUAAAUUUUCAUCCGGGAAUUCAUCUCUUAUUGGCAAGGUGUUUGUAGUGUCUUCAAAGGUUAGCCUUGAUAAGUGGUCUGCUACGACAUUCUCCACUCCUUUCUUGUCCUUGAUGGUGAUGUCAAAUUCCUGCAAAAGCAAUAUCCACCGUAUUAAUCGCGCCUUAGUAUCCUUCUUUGCAAGAAGGUGCUUAAAGGCUACAUGAUCUGUGAAAAUUGUAAUGGGAGAACCUAUUAAAUAGGAUCUAAACUUGUCAAGUGCAAAGAUCACAGCUAGUAGCUCUUUUCAGUUGUGGAAUAGUUCAUCUGAGCACUGUUAAGAGUUCUACUAGCGUAGUAAAUGACAAAAGGCUUACCCUCUCUUCGUUGUCCCAGUACAGUACCUACCGCAUAAUCAUUAGCAUCGCACAUAAUUUCAAACGGUAGGGACCAAUCAGGUGGUUGCAUGAUUAGUGCAGAAGUGAGCUUGUUAAUCAGUGUUUUAAAUGCCUCUUGGCAUUCUGGGGUCCAUUCAAAAUUGGCUUCUUUACUUAGAAGGUUACACAAGGGUCUGGAUAUGGAUGAAAAGUUCUGUAUAAACCUCCUAUAAAAACCUACGUGACCUAGAAAUGAUCUUAUGUCUUUGACGGUUUUAUGUAUAGGCAAUUUGGAGAUCAGUUCAAUUUUUGAUUUGUCGACCUCUAUUCCUUUAGAAGAAAUUACAUGUCCUAAGACAAUUCCUGAAGGUACCAUAAAAUGACAUUUCUCCCAAUUCAAAACUAAUCAUUUUUCCACACACCGGGCCAAGACUCUCUUCAAGUUAAAUAGGCAUGUAUCAAACGAGACUCCAAACACUGUCAAGUCAUCCAUGAAAACUUCCAUGCACUCCUCUAUCAUGUCAGUAAAUAUGCUUAUCAUGCAUCUUUGGAAUGUGGCAGGGGCGUUACAAGGUCCAAAUGGCAUCCUACGAAAUGCAUAAAUACCAAAUGGGCAAGUAAAUGUGGUCUUUUCUUGGUCUUCUAAAGCUAUUUCAAUUUGAUAAUAAAUGAUUGAUAAAUGAAGUAACAUGCAAAUAACAAAGUUAAUCAAACUGAACACAUUUUUAACUUUGCAAAAUAACUUGCUUGAGAUUGGCUUAGAGAUAAACAAGUCAAUCUUAUGUUGUACUAAAGGCUCAGUGGGCUGACACGAACUUGGAUCAAUUCAUGUGUGCUUCUAUACAUGUCGGACUAGAUGUUUUGUUUAUUUAUGUUUCAAUUUUGUUGAAAAUUAUCUCUUUAAUGGUGGGUUUUUUGAUAAUUAAUUAUGGUUUAUGUUUUCCCCAUUUGUCCUUUUUCUUGUUGGUAAUAUAUUCAUAUUUUCUUUGUUACCAAGGUUGAGUCGGUGUUGGACAAGGAAAAUUUUACAUUGGAAGAGCUUUUGGAUGAAGAAGAGAUAAUCCAAGAAUGCAAAUCAUUAAAUAGUUGCCUUAUCAAUUUGAAUGGCACCUUUACUUUUUAGCUGCAUAUUUCUAUUUAUUAUUAUUGUCAUCUAUGUUAGUUUUUAAUGAGUAAUGGUUCCUUGGCAAUCACACCCUUACCACGACCUGCUCUUUGAACAGUUGUUGCACUAUAUCGAGAGUCUCCGAUGAUGCGGAUAGCAAACGAAUGUUCAGAUGCCAUAUAGUUUUAGCUUUCAAACCAAAUUUAUUUUUCCCCAAAACUAGUCUUAUAAACAUGAAGUAUUAACCCGAUUUGCUUGUUUGUUGAUUAGUUACUGCAAAAAGUCAAGAAAUUAUAAUCUAUGUCAAGGAGGAAGUAUGCACAUUGGGUUUAACCAAAAAAGAAGUUGGAACUGCUACAUAUUCUUUGAUUUCCAAUAGCAAUCUCGAAACUCUCAACCCGUGAUCUUCUGUUGACUCUGCCAUGAGGCUAAGUAAUCGUUUUGAAACUGUGUUUGAUAUUUGGGUCUUCGGGGUUUCAAGUCAACUAUUAAGAAAAUUGUCG